rnacentral:tRNA from 1 species
GCUUCGGUGGUUCAGUGGUAGAAUACUCGCCUGCCACGCGGGUGGCCCGGGUUCGAUUCCCGGCCGACGCA